CUGCUCAAGGAGGAGCCUUUCUCCACAGAGGAAAUAAACCUCAUCUCCCAACUUUUUGAAGUGAGAGUGAAAAGCCAAACAGACAUGGAAGCCUUUGAGAAGAACCUCUUGCUCCGUGUGAAGUCUGAGGAAUCACUCAACAACAAGUGGCUGGUGAAGAAAAAAGAGAAUUUCCUUCAUCCCCUGAGCAGCAGUGGAAGGGACAGCCUCCGACAGAGGGCACACCUUGAAGGGGAAGCUGUCAAUUCCUCGUUCCCUUCAGCACUGGAGGAUAAAGUGGAUGCAUUAACUGAGGAGCUG